UCCACCCACGCCCGCGGUGGCUGAGGGGAGCGAGGAGAGGGGCGCGCCUGGCGUUACCUUAGCGGCGAGGGCAGGGCAGAGCGGCGCUGGAGGGGACGGUGAAAUCACUACGAAGGACUCUCGAUGCGUUUCGUGAGGGUGUUUGCUGUCCCUGCAGCCUGGCAGCGGAUCUCCUGGUCCCCCGUCCACGGAGCCUGCCGUGGGGAAGUGCGUGGGUUGCCUUGGGGGUAGAUUGCAAAUCCAUGUUUGAUCUAUCUGUCUGUGAUCUGUGUGUACAAAAGUAUCAACUGGCUGGUACCUCUUCUGAAAGCAACUAACUUUUUGGAACUAAAUUCAGAUAGAAAUUAUAAUGCAAGAUGGGAUGCCCUGGAAGUCAAAUGCGUUGCUUAGCAUUGGCAGCUCCUUCUCGCUGUGUUAGGAGCUGCUUACACUCAGUGUCGAAUAUAAGGGCAGGCUUUUCUUCAGCAUCAGCUCAGUUUGCAACAUCGCAGGAAAACUUGCAGAAAUCUUAUGUUGACGUCUUGGACACCUCAAGCCAUGUGGGAGCAAGACAGGGAGAUCAAAUCCAUCUCUAUGCAUUUUAAUGUCACGUGUGGGGAAAGCUAUGCACUGCAAAGUGAACUCCUGGACGAAUUAUUAUGAAAAAUCAAUAUCCUGAGCAGCAAGGAGUUGGGCGUGACUCAGUUUGGAGGUGAACGGACAUAGCAGCCGUGAGCAGAGCUGGCAGGAGAUCAUGGAAUCAUUUAAAGGCACAGACAGUGUGCAUUUGGAUCUUGAUUUGAAUCAUUUGAGGUGCUCAUCUUAAAUAUAACAGGUUUGUUCUUAGGAAGUUCUUGUUGAAAAGAAACUAAAUAUUUCCAUAGUAAUUUUAAUUUGAAGGCAUCUUGUUAUAGAAUUCUACCUCUGCUUAUUCAGUGAAAAUCUAGUAAAUGCAGUACGUAGUUGAUGCCAGCCUUUGUGUAUUUUUCAGAAGUAGUGUUUCCUAGAUUUGUGUAACCACAAUAUGUUUUCCCUGUACAAGGUGUAACCUUUCCCAGUGCUUAUGAUGACACUGCAGUCUCUUUUUUUUUGGCUUGUCUUUGACACAAAGAUUUUUUUCAGGGAACUGGAGGAAAGAUGGGAAGAGCAAGGCUCUGAAAACUACAUUGCAUGAACCAGUAAUUUGUAAACCCCAAUUCAUGGCUUGCUGGUCACUGUGACAAGAAAUUAAAAACAUUAAGACUGAAACCAACAUGGAGUGCAGGGUGUGAUCCUACUCUCACGUUGGUCACAAACAACAAAACAGAGCUAGUAAUCCUCUGUAACCUUUUAGUAUAUUACUACCUCCUGGUAGACUUUAAUUUUAAACAAAUUCUGUGGUGGCACUUUCAUUUAAAAGGAAGCUAAAAAGAGGGGGAAAUGUAAUUUCAAUCCCAUCCUCAAUCUGCACAAUUCAAAACUACAUCUUUUUAUUCCAAACAAACAGCCUUUCUUAAUUUUUGGUUGAAGACUCAUAUGCCAGAAAGAGAAAAUAAGAGUUUACUGUUAGGGCUAGUGAGAGUCACUCAAGACUCUUCUCUGUGUUUCAUUUAUCAACUAUAAAGGUAAACUGCAGGAGUGUCUUGUAAGCACCUACAUCCUUUACUGGAUCCAGGAUACAGGGUGCUUUCAGGGAUCAUAAGCUGAGCCUUUUCUGUGUUUGGUUCCUGUUGUAUAGGAUGAGGAUUAAUGGUGGUUACCACCUGUAGAGAGUGCUUUGGUCUGUAGCUAAAGUAUGAUCAGUGUUUACCGAGUACUGUUAGCUCUCUCUUUACUUAACUUGCACUGAAACCAUUUGCAUAGUGCUAGUACUAACUCUAAACUAAUCCUCUCUCAAAAGUCUUUUAUCAUAAAACAAUUACUUUUCUGAGUGGUCAUUAUUUUCACGUUCAAAAAAGUACACAUGGCAAAACGAAUGCCUACUGUGUCAGCCAGUAAUGGACUCUUUGUGGACACAGUCAGGGAAUGUGCCUUUUGUUUUCCUGCACCUGUUGCUGUAUUACAAAUAAAAUCACCCAAUGUUUUAUUAAAUAAAAUGAGAAUCCCUCAUGAAAUUGUACCAGCCAUUACCAGGAAGUCUAUUGAAAACAUUCGGCAGCUGUUGAGUCUCAGUUCACUUACACUGAUAGGAUUGUUUUGUCCUUCUCCUUAUGCUCUGAGGAAGCCGCAGCGCGGUGGUGGUGUACAGCAGAGCCUUGGACCAUUUCAUACCACUCUCCUCUAACUCCCUUUGAAGUAUUUGGUCAGAAUCAGCAAUAAAUCAUGCUCAACAGUUAAGUACCUAUGACUUGUAAAAGUUGAUAAGGAGUCAGUGCCCCGGGUCUUAACAGCUAAGUGUUUGUUUUGCAAACAUCAGCUUGUAUACCCUUACAGCACGGUGGUAAAGCAGGUAAAAAUCUACUGUAUUAUUCUGAUUUUAUAGAGAGGGAUUGAUCAGAGAGGUUAAGAAUCAAAUCAGGCAACCCUUCUUACUAGACAAAAUACCCAGGUAGCCUGCGGAGUCCUCUGGAGUGAGCUGGGGCCAGCCUUGCUCAAUACAGUUAACUAUCACUCUUUCUCUAAAGGUCCCUAACAGAAUUGGUCUCUGUCUCUUCUGUAUUUAAAAGUCAGUACAUCUAUCCCAUAGCUGUGCUGGCAGCUAGGUGGAGACUCUUUCAGACUGUAGUUCCUAAUAAGAGUUGCCUAAUUUAAAAGAAAAGGUAACACUAGCAAUAAUUAUGCUAAAUGCUCAGCAGUAGAUCUUGUGCUAAAACCGCUAAGUUGCACCAUAAUCACGUUGGAGAUUGGAAAAUAUUUGAUAAAGACUUUCUGGUAAAAACAGCGUAAUAAAGAAUUUUGUUCAAACUUGCAUGACUCAAACGUUUCCAGGUUUGUUUUUUAAAAUGUAUGAAUAGCUGGACGAAUCCUCAGCCAAGCAGUGAUACAGCCCUCACUUCCCACAGCCCCCAGGGCAGGAACAGCAGCGCCUGAGGGCAGAAGGUGCAGCAGAGGACACGCAGUCCCCAAGCAUCUCCUGCAGGAACAUUCCUUUGAUCACGGUGCCUGAGCAGAAGAAUUACCACCAGAGUCUGUCUCCUGUCCCGUUUCUGUGAUGUUACAAAUUUGUGGAUCUUCUCUGAAUUUAUUGCAGUGCAACUCCAUGAAGAAUUUAGACUCAAAUAUAAGGAAGGAAGGCAAAUGCAAGCUUUCUAGAACUCACUGAAACCUUCCUAGCUGAAAAGUUGAGCUGAAAUUAUAUGCUGCCAUGUGCUUCAAGCAGUUGUUGGUGAAUGGCUUUGGCAUCCCCAGUCUGGCCUGCCAUGAAUAAAGUCAAGCCAGGGAUACCACUAGCUCUUAGGAUCCCUGUAUCUGCUUCACUUUGCUUGAUUUCACAACCAGUCUUUUUGAGCUUAUCCUACAGGUGUUUUCAGCCACCUUGAGAUAGUCUUCUCCUCUCUUCAAGCACUGACCUGAGGAGGAAUCGUCAGAAGGAAGUGACCCCGGAUGUUAAAAGGACUCAGGUCUCCCUUACUAAGUCACCCUAGACUCUGGAUGUUAAAAGGCAAAAUCAGUAAGAAGAACUUUGAAACGCCCGAUGUAAAAGCGGCCUGAUGACUAACUGAACAUGACCAAGUACCUUUGUGAUUUUGAGCUGGAAGCGUUUGUCAGGAUACCGUAAGUCCACUCACAAUUUUACUAUUAUUAUUUUAAUCAUUUCUCUCAUCUCAUUCCAAAAUAAUUCUAAAAUAUUUGAGGAAUAUUUGAAGAAAAUGCUAGAUUACAGGAAUGGGGCACGAAGUCCUUUCCUUAACCACUGAACAGCUCCAACAAGAUCUUUCUUCACACUCCUUCCCGAGAUUCAGAGCUGUUCACUGCAGAUCAAGUGAGAGAGUUUAAGCCCCACUCAAUUUCUACAGCAGCGUGAGCUUGGAACUCCAGUCAUGCGACUGUACAAAUUUUUGAUAGUUAAUUCUGAGCUCCGGACACUUCUCUGCAGGCGGGUUGCGCUGGCACAUCGCACGCGCCCACUGAACAGGCAGCAGAUGGCAACGUUACUGAAGUAUUUAUUAUUUGACCGUUUCAACUUUAUUUUCUCAGCAAGGCCCUUAAAUUGCACUUUUAGGAGGAAACCUACUUGAACAUAAUUGAAAUGCACUGCCUUACUUUUUUCAGCAAGCAGCAGGGGCUCGGGUGGGGGCUGUGAAGCACUGCCCUGCGCUCGCCCCAGCGCUAAGGUGUGACUAGCUGCUGGAGACUCACAUGCAGGGUCAGCCACCCUGCUCACGCUCCCAGGGGAAGCACCAGGAUCUAACAGAAGGAAUCUUCACUACAGAGAUUGUCAGAACUCUGCCCCGGCCUGGUGGAAAGCAAGUUACCCAGCAAGCUGCAGUACUGGCUCUUGAGUUCAGAUGUUCCAGGAGUUACAGAUCCUCGCACAGAAAGGAAGGCAGCUCCAUUCUCAACACUGGAGAUGAAGAUGUGAAAUACCCCAAGGAAACCGGCCUCUGUGAGAGCUUAAACCAGCUGCCCGAGCCAGUGACAAGGCAGCUGGGGGCCAAGGCGCUUCGCCAUCGCACCGCGCAGACCUGAGGAAGGUCCUGUGAUAACAUGCCAGGGUCCAGGAGUCAACCCUUUAAGGAAAUGGGUCCUUUAAUUUUUUGCUGUAUUAAUAAAAAAAGUGAUCCAAUUGAUCUGUUUCCUUACGGAGUAAAUAUUCAGAUUUAAGAAGCAAAUACACCAUAUCCAGAAAUUGUUUAUCAAUGCACCCAUUAUGAUGUAUACAUCUGCACAAUCUGAAAAAUUAGGAUCUUCAUCCAAAAUCCUGAUGCUGGAAGGAAGGGGAAGCAACUUAAACAGGAAAAGUUUUCUAAGUCAGUUACUAAACCGUCAAGCUUACCCUUCUCUUCUCUGAGCGGGUUCAGGAGACGAUCAAAUCUAUAGUUACUGUUAAAGUCACCUCGAGGAAUGAUGCCAAGUCUUUAAUUCUUCAGUGCUUAGUUAACCCAAACAUCCAGUACACCCUCCAAACACCCAGUAGAAAGGGAUGCGCAAGAGAAACUGCACAAACUACUCCAAAAUAUUUAUAAACAAAUUAUUAAUGGUCACUUCAUAUUAGCUUUGAGUUCCCUGCAUUUCUGAACAGAUGAACACUCUCCUGCACCUUCAGUUUAAAAAGUAUUCCAGUUCCAGAAUAUAGAAAGGUUUAACAUUAAGGCAUACAUACAGCUAUGUUGUUUGCUUUCAUUUAAUAAAGAUCAAUUUACUCAAAUACAUGGAAUGUUGGCACAAAACUAAAGCUCUUGUGGAACAGCUACCAAUCAUACACAAAUAUUCUGUGAGGUCCUCUUGACUUGCAUUUCUCCGAUAGAUACACCACAAAAUGGCUUUAAUAAUACAAACUGAAUGCUGGAUCAAAUCUCUAAAUAAUAAGUAGCAGUUAAAGUAAAUGGUUUGCUUUAUUUGUAAAUUAUGUACAGAAUACAUUUAUUUUUUUUUUUUAAUUAUGAUGGAGCAGGAGAAUGAAAACAGCCAUAAUUUCCAAACCGUGCUGCUUCCCUCACCCGCUGGAGAUGACAUCUUUCUCUGAACCAGAUGUACAAAACCAGUUUGGAUUUCCUCAGUUGCUGGCACGAGAACACUGCAGCCAAAUUCAGCACUACCAGCUUUUACAUUUUCAGCAAAAUACUUCUGCUAAAACUAGCUUUCUUAGGAAAGUUUUCACAAUCUUUUGAAAACAAAAUCAAGAAAAAUAUCAAGAAAGCUGUGGGCUAAGAAGGGCUUUACCUAACUAGCUAUCAAAUAACUAGGAAUAAUCUGAGAUUUGGUCAUUCAACUUUUACCUGUUUUACAAAAGCAAGUUUGAGAAGCUAAACUAAUUCACCAGUUAUGCAAGUACCAGAAAACUAUGUUUUUCAGUAUGUUUGAGGACGAUCUGGGCAAUCUAUCAAUCAAUAGAAAACUUGUCAGAUUGAUAAAACUUCUGUCAAUGGAUAUUAAUGAUUAACAUAGUACCAAGUAAUCAAGUUAAUGGUUAAAAAAAAAAAAAAAGGAAGGAACUAGAUAUAAAACUGUUUGGUAACACGUAUAUUU